CCUACGGGUGGCAGCAGUGAGGAAUAUUGGUCAAUGGACGAGAGUCUGAACCAGCCAAGUAGCGUGAAGGAUGACUGCCCUAUGGGUUGUAAACUUCUUUUAUAUGGGAAUAAAACGUUCCACGUGUGGGAUUUUGUAUGUACCAUAUGAAUAAGGAUCGGCCAACUCCGUGCCAGCAGCCGCGGUAAUACGGAGGAUCCGAGCGUUAUCCGGAUUUAUUGGGUUUAAAGGGAGCGUAGGUGGAUUGUUAAGUCAGUUGUGAAAGUUUGCGGCUCAACCGUAAAAUUGCAGUUGAAACUGGCAGUCUUGAGUACAGUAGAGGUGGGCGGAAUUCGUGGUGUAGCGGUGAAAUGCUUAGAUAUCACGAAGAACUCCGAUUGCGAAGGCAGUUCACUGGACUGCAACUGACACUGAGGCUCGAAAGUGUGGGUAUCAAACAGGAUUAGAUACCCUAGUAGUC
rnacentral:rRNA from 1 species